rnacentral:lncRNA from 1 species
UGGACCAGACCAGAUUGCAGAACGCAUAGCAGGCACGGCCCUCUGCCGUCGCCGUCGGGGAUGGCGGCCAUGGGUUUUCGCACGGCGCGGGUUCGCCCCGCCCCUCUCCCCAAGACCACCGCCACAACAGCCCGGGUCUCGGCCUGGAGGCGAAGAAGGCGCUGCAGUAAGCGGCCGAGUCGAGGAGCUGUCUGCGGGCGAGGGCCGACGGCGGACGAGGGUUAGGUAUGUCAUAUGGUUCCAUUUCUGCCCCUUCAUAAGCAUCAGCCUCUUGGUAGCUUAUAUAGGUGCUAACUCGCUCAUUGAUUCAUAUAGUACCCCAUCACAUAUAUUUUUGGGAUGGUCGAUGAACUCGACAAUUGCUUAGAGGAUUUGGUACAGUGAGCACGCAUUUUUAAUCUAAUUCAACAGCAUGCAAGAGGGAUUGGGGAUAAAACUUGGAAUUCUAAAGUAGCAGUGUUUAAGCUGACUACUUGUUUUCGAUUUGGUUUAGACCCUAAUGUUCGAGCACCGGUUAAUAGAUCACCGAGUUCUCAUCGCAUGGAAGAAGAUGCUUCCUUUUUCAAAAUUACUUGAACUAAACCCCAGUGUCGCGCAAAAAAGUACUCCUCAUCCAAACAACAAGCAAGACUGGGAACUGGAAAUAAAAUGAAUGAAUUGUAGUUUAUAAACAACCAAUGACAACACAAUAGCAAAUUACCAAACUUUAACUAAGCAGAUGCAACAACUCAGCUGGUAUUUUCCCUUCAACGUCCAGAUAGAGGGUUUAAUUCUGGCAUCCCACCGGUAUAACCAGACCGGAAGGAGCUCUCCUCGUUCCUUUCUUCAGAAAUCAGCAACUGGAACUGCCUUCGCAUUUCAGCAUCCAUGGAGUUCGUACAUCGAGAGGACGCAGAAGCAUACUGCUUUUCACUUGGAACCGUUGGCAGCAACACUUUUAGCCUUGAAACAACUUCGGUCAUGGUAGGACGGUCCAUGGCUGCGCUUUCGACGCAGUUCAUGGCAAGGUCCACCACACUCUGCAGGGAACUGGUGUCAUACUGAUCCAACAGCUUCUUGUCCACGAUAUCUUGGAUACUGCCUUUGGCAAUCUUUUGGCGUACCCAAUUUGGUAGGUGGUAGGUUUGAGGGUCCAUCAACACCGGGGGCUUGCCAGUGAUGAUUUCCAAGAGCACGAUGCCGAAGCUGUAAACAUCUGUCUUGGUGGUGAGCUGGAAAGUUGCAUGGUACUCGGGGUCAAGGUAGCCAAGAGUGCCAGCAGCAACAGUAGAUAUGUGUGUGUGCGCAUCGUUAAAAGCCCGUGAAAGCCCAAAAUCAGCUAUGAUCCCCACCAGGUUCUUGUCCAGAAGGAUGUUAGCGGUCUUGACAUCUCUGUGAACUAUUGAUGGGGUGCAUGACUCGUGUAGAUAUUCCAGUCCUGUAGUUUACUUUGUCAACAUAUGGAUACAUACAUAGAUCGCCUAAAGGAAGCAUGUAAAUGAAAUUCCAACCUUGUGCAGAAUCAAGUGCAAUAUGAAGUCGCUGUUCCCAAUUCAAACUGUAGUCUUCUCCUGCAUCAAGAUGUACCAAAUUUAAUUUAAGUGCCACAAGAUACAUGCAUGGUAGCAUACAUACUAGCUUUGUAAUUUUGCACAUUUAACUUCAGAAAUGAUGUUAAAACAACACACAAUGAUUAACCUUGGUAUCAAUGGGUCUAUUAUGGUCUGAAGCUGGCAUAAAUAAGCUCUUUGAUCUUCAAGAGAUCACUGUUUUUCCUUCUCUUUAACAAAGAUUUUUCUUUUAACAAUGGAACCAAGCUAUUGAAGUAUUCUUUGAAUAUGUACCUCCGUCAUUGCUUUGUUUCUUACUGAUUUUAAAUAUGCAACUAUCAAGUCAUAACUAUGACUGAGUAGAGAUAUGUAACUGUUGUGCCCAAAUUUGUUAGCCAAGUAUCUAUGACCAUGCUAUGGUUAUGAAUUUGACAAUGGACAAUUCUAAGUAGAAUUUUCCAAAAAAGAAAAGCUCUAAAAAGAACUAGGUCCACCAACUCAAGUGUAUGAUUAGCAGCAGCAAUAACAGUCUAUGCAACCAACUACACCUUUAACAAGGAAAUCAGAUUUUAUUUAAAAAACUCCUUGUUUACAGUAGGGUCUAGGGUGUCAAUGCCAGAUUUAUUUGAUUUGAUUUUAAAAAAACUUAUGCCAGGUCCUAUCAAUUUUUUAUUAUGCUGCGAAGCGCAAUAUAAAAUUUACUCCCUCCGUUCACAAAUAUAAGAUGUUUUAAAUUUUUUCUGAAUCGGAUGUAUAUAGACAAGUUUUAGUGUGUUUGUUCACUCAUUUCAGUCUCUAUGUAGUCCAUAUUGAAAUAUCCAAAACAUCUUAUAUUUGUGAACGGAGGGAGUAGCACGUAGGUGGUUUCCAAGUAGUUAAUGAAAGCUGUUGGUGUGUGCUUUUGAAAUAGUGGAGAGAAAAACCUUCUCUUAAAAGCUGUUGAAGAUUUCCUCUGGGCAUGAAGUCAUAAAUGAGGGCUAGGCACUUGUUCUGGCAAUAUCCUUGUAGAGUUACGAGAUUCUUGUGAUGAACUUUGGACAAGGUUUGCACCUGCAGCAACAGAUAUAGUUACCAAUCAUCCUAGAGCUGAAGCCAGUUGCAUCAUUUCAUUGGAUAUGGACUCUGGAAAGGAUUGAUAUCUUGCACACUUAUAGUUUACUUUCUGUUGAAGAAUCAUUAAUUUGACCUAGUUGGUCUUAUGGUAUACCUCAGGGAGGAAAUCCGUUGACUCCGCUAUUGAUGUCUCCAUAAGCACCUUUACCACCACUUCAUCAGCAUUUUCCAUUGUGCCAUGAUAAACAGUACCAAAACCUCCUUUUCCAACUAUUGAAUUGAAGUCGUUUGUUAUGUGCUUUAGCUCUGCGUAGGUGAACCGUCUGAUGUCAAUAUGUAGGGGCGUCUCCUCUUCAUACAUAGCAUAAUCCUCAGUGUCUCCUGACAUCCCCGCAGAGUCAAAAAGUAGUGUGUUACAUGAAAGUUUUGGUGUGAAGCUGCUGUUUAAUUUCUACCACCUAUUCCAUUGAUGGAAGGGAAUUUAAGAGCGAAAUGUAUUGUUUUACCUUUCCAGCACAAUUUCCAGAGUAUGCACAUCACUACUAGGAGGGAUACAAGUACUACAGGAACUAUCACUGCGAUGACCAUGGUAGAUUUGGUGCUCUUCUUAUUUGAACAGUACGUAUCUUUGACUUUUGAGCAUACGGGAUUGCCUUCUAACCUAGUGGCACCAUUACAGAACAUAUAGAAAAAAAAUGAACACAUAAGAUGUUAGCUACAACAGCUCUACAAAAUUAUGAUUAGAAGAUGCCUCCAUUUUCUAACACGACUAACAUGCUAAACAUGUAUGCACUCUGAACGAAUAAACUUCAUGGUUUCUCAUCUAUGCAUUCUAAAAGAAGAAACUUCAUGGUUUGUAAAUCAUGUGCAGUUACUAAAUGUCCUUAUCUAUUUCUCAUAUUGAAUGCCGAUAGAUGAUAAAGCCUUAUAGUUAUACUAGUACACGUAACUGAUGGAAUGUUUAGAUCAAUGCAAUGCUCUGCGCAAGUGUUGCUGCACACACUUCUUGUGGCACCCGAAUUGGCCAUCACAACUUCGUCAAAUUUGGUAAGUGUUCACAUAUACGACAAUGAGGCUGCUGCGGCUUGGUGCUGGAAAAAUGUGGCACGCCACAAAAUGUAACACCAACCAAACUGUUGCCACAGAAAGUCAAACUUGUAUAACUGUUGUUUUGUGAAAUGUGCGAAGAUUUUUGCUAAACCUUGAUUUUUUUUCUAUGAGGCUUAACCCUGUUUCUUUUCGGUGUAGUUGUUUAGUUUGAUCUAUUUUUUUUCUUCUGUUGUAAGAAAUUGUGAAACAUUCAGUCAAGACGAAAGGAUUGUGCAACAGAGCAUGCAAACCUUAAGUCAAGCAGACCGGCCUGAUAUCUUUGAAGAAUAGAAUGAGGGAUUGGUCCAUCGAGUUGGUUAUAUGACAAAUCUCUGUAAAAUAAUAGUUAAAACCAUUCUCUAAAAUUUAUAUCAUCACCCAAACAUUAUAAUCAGCAGAGACUUACAGAACUUUUAUUGACUUUAUUUGGUAGUCUGGAAUACCUCCUGUCAAAUUGUUGUGUGACAAAUCCCUGCAUAUGUUUUAUGCUUAGGAUCACAAAGAUGUUAACAUAACCUCAUUUAUCCCAUUAAUAUUUUGUGGUAGGCACCACUUACAGGUUUUCCAGUGAUACCAUGUUCAUGAAUGCUAUGGUUAAUCCACCUUUCAGUCCGCUGGUAGACAGAUUUCUGCAAAAAAAAAUAAAAAAAAUCAUUCAAUACAAAUGUCUUCAUUUUGUGAUAUCAUUGAGCUAACAUGUUUCCUUGAGAUUAUUCUAGUAUCUUUUUGUGGUUCAGGUUUACAGUAAAUUAUUUAUAUAACAGAAUGUGCUUCAAAAGUUAAAAAAUAUUGAAUUGUGAUGUUCAGAUUCCGAAAUGUAUAUGGUACAAGUCCCUGUUAGGUUCUUACACUCCAACAAUCCUCGGAUUCUGGUUGCUCUUAGAGUAGUCGCAAGUCAAACCUUCCCAGGAAUAUUCUCUUGGGGAGCACAGAUCUCCAUUCCAGUUUAUUCGUGUCAAAUUGUAGUGUUUCUUGACUUCUUUCAUGUAACUGACUACAACAGCCAAAAGACAAUGGAAACAAAUAUAAAUGGAAUGAAAAAAGCUGUAUGUGUUGGGUAUGGGCGUUCAUAUGUAUUUAAAAGAAUGUAGACAUUAACUUAAGUACUUAACUAGUUGCAAAGUUAUUUUAAUAGAAGAAAAUAAAUUGUAUCAAUCCAUUCCUCUACAACGGUCUUGGCCAUGGUUUGUGGGCCGUUGAACUUUAGAACAUGGCUUACUAAGGAAUUUAGUGUAGGACUGAAUCAGCUGGUUAUUGUCUUACUAAGGAGUUUAGUGUAGGACUGAAUCAGCUGGUUGAUAAACUUGUUUCUAUUACUUUAAUGAGGAUACUGGCAAUGUCUAAUGGAGUUGAGAAUCUUCAGGGGUCUACACAAGUAUACAAUGAGAUUUUUGUCAUUAAGAUCUGUUUUAAGUGCAGGGAGCUGGAGGUGAUGUUCAUCAACUGAAUAAGCUGCAUGAUGAUGGUGCGAAUCUUGUCACACGCAUGAUAUAUUCGUCAUAUGCGUGCAAUAUCUAUGUCGAUGAUCGAUCUUACCAU